rnacentral:rRNA from 1 species
GGAGUAUGGGCCGUGUCUCAGUCCCAUUGUGGCUGAUCAUCCUCUCAAACCAGCUACUGAUCGUCGCCUUGGUGGUCCAUUACACCGCCAACUAGCUAAUCAGAUGCAGACUCAUCCUUUAGCACCGGAGUUUUCACGAAUACUAUUCCAAGUACGCGCAUAUGGGGUAUUAGCAGUCGUUUCCAACUGUUGUCCCCCGCUAAAGGGCAGAUUCUCUACACAUUACUCACCCGUCCGCCACUUUCCACCAACCGAAGUUGAUUUCUCGUUCGACUUGCAUGUAUGAAGCACGCCGCCAGCGUUCAUC